GUCCUGAAGAUCUCCAUGACAUCAGCCAUGAGAGAUGGGAGUAGCUGAGCAAGGAAACCCAAGACUUCUAAAUAAGAUCUACGCAGAGAUCUACGUUACAGAGGGUGAAAGUGGAGAGGUCAACGAUGAACAUCAAGUGAGACAGAUUGAGACAGCAUCAAAGAAACCAGCGACACAGCAAAACUAUUCAAGCGGUCGACUCACUAAUGGAUGAAGAUGCGCUCGGCAAAGCCCAUCAAAAUUGCUACAGAAAAAAGGAAGAAGAUCAAGCAAGCCGAGUCCCAAGCAUCGCCUCAAACUCCAUGUGUGGGGGGCAAUUUCUCACCAGGGACUAGGCUCAUAUUUGAUUUUUGAUGGUAAGUUUAGCUAUUUACAAAGCAAAAGGUACAUUAAAUAUUGUAGCCUACACCUCACAGACUGCUAUGUGUUCCACAAUAAUUCACUGUUGCCUCCUUUUUCAGGUACCAUGGCUCAAGAUAUCUUUGAGGAAAAAAUCAUCAAGAGAUAUGCUGGACCAUAUGUCAGAGAGGUGUUUCUGGGACCACAUCAUUUAUUUCAAGACAAUGACCCAAACCAAAUUGGGGGAUUUUCACAUCUACAGCAGCUGGGCUAUGAAGAGUUGCGUGUCAAUUCAUUAACACCAUGUGCCACGGAAUCUCUUCCCAACUACUUUGCAGUCUAUAUGGCUCUCCGACAUUUUGCAGUUGCAUGAUGUCUUGAGUUAGAAAUGUAACACUUUAGAGUACUUAAGCAUCAAAUACAUUGCAAAUUGUUUUGUACUGCUCUGUAGUUUCGACCCAAUGAUUCGUCUGACAAACAAAGAAAUUUGCUUCCUGCAGGCCCAGGCAUGGAUCAAAGCUGGCGAGAGCAUCUGUACCAUUAUUUUAUUAACGAAAGCAUAAAGAAGUUGAUGAAGAAGCCACAUUUGCCUCAGGAUCCGUCCUAGUUGGUAUUCUGUGGAACCACACGUUUUUUCUGUGCGGCCCGUUGUCCAGCCUUUUGUCCACUGAUCUCCACGGAUGGUUGUCGGCAUGGUUGUACAGUAUGCUUUGCAAAAACACAUUCAUGUUUUUAGCACACAAAAUCAAUUUUAUUACACAGUAUGCCUACACAUCGAUAGGCUAUAUACAUUUUUUUCAAAAGAAAAUGCACUGAUGCAUUUACCAUUCUCCUUCUCGGACUGAAAACGUUGUUUGCGGAGUUCACAAUCUCAUUUUUAAGUCCUUGUUUAAAAAAUAACUAUAUUUUGGAGAAACUAAAAGCCCACCGUCGCCUCAUAGGUCUCCCGUUGUGGCUAGCAUGGGUAUCGAACCAGAAUCUGUAGCAACGCAGUAUGCACUGCGAUGCAGGGUCUUAGACUACAGCGCCGCUCGGGAGGCCCCAUCUGCAAAGUUUUUAAUGCUGAUCAAUUGCCUUGCACAAAGUAUCUAUUGUCCUGCUAAUAGCCCAUAAUGGCGCUGUUGUCACGUUGGUAUGAAUGAUUCGGGAGACAGGCGCAGGAAUGCGUAAUUGGGUUUUUAUUAAGUCCAAAUUACGGUGUGCCGUGUAAUGGCACGGGGACGAAGACCAAACAAACACGUAAUAAAACACAGGGUAGAAACCCAAAACAAAAUAGCGAGGAGUACCUCGAAUAAAUAACAUGUGCACAAUGAUAAACACAUGGGACUAGACCCGUAAUCAUCUGCGUAAUGCACAAAGGCACAAAAGCCAAAACACAGCGCAGGUACUCACACGCACCAAUGGACAUUAUAACAAUAAUCGACAGCCCAAUGGAAACCAAAGGGCACACUUAUACAAGUACUAAUCAGUGGGAAAAUGGGACAGGUGUGCGUAAUGAAUGUUCCGGAGGGAUCCGUGACAGCUGUACAACGUGACCGGUCGGGAGUAGGCUACAGUACUACAGUAAGAGAAAAAUCAUCCUAAUACUCAAAAUGGAGAUUCAGUGAAAAUAAAAAUCUCAUUGCCUUUUCCAUUCAUUUUAAGAGUAUUUUCCAGUAAACAUAAUCAGUGCUCUAACUCCCCCUUGCACUGGUCUGGAGCAGUGACGCAGUGACGCAGGGUACCGUACUAAACCACAAAUUACCUCUAAGUCCCGCAGCAUAAUCUCAAAACUUUUAGUUGAGCAACCACUGUAUAUUAAAACCUCUUACAUCUAGAUGUUCCGCUAGCGGAACACCUGCUCCAAUAUCCAAUGAUGGGCGUGGCGCGAAAUACAAAUUCCUCUAAAAUCCGAAAACUUCCAUUUUUCAAACAUAUGACUAUUUUACAGCAUUUUAAAGACAAGACUCUCAUUAAUCUAACCACACUGUCCGAUUUCAAAAAGGCUUUACAGCGAAAGCAAAACAUUAGAUUAUGUCAGCAGAGUACACAGCCAGAAAUAAUCAGACACCCAUUUUUCAAGCUAGCAUAUAAUGUCACAAAAACCCAGAAGACAGCUAAAUGCAGCACUAACCUUUGAUGAUCUUCAUCAGAUGACAACCCUAGGACAUUAUGUUAUACAGUGCAUGCAUGUUUUGUUCAAUCAAGUUCAUAUUUAUAUCAAAAAACAGCUUUUUUACAUUAGCAUGUGACGUUCAGAACUGGCAUACCCCCCGCAAACCUCCGGUGAAUUUACUAAAUUACUCACGAUAAACGUUCACAAAAAACAUAACAAUUAUUUUAAGAAUUAUAGAUACAGAACUCCUCUAUGCACUCGAUAUGUCCGAUUUUAAAAUAGCUUUUCGGUGAAAGCACAUUUUACAAUAUUCUCAGUAGAUAGCCCGGCAUCACAGGGCUAGCUAUUUAGACACCCACCAAGUUUAUCACUCACCAAAAUCAGAUUUACUAUUAGAAAAGUUUGAUUACCUUUGAUGUUCUUCGUCAGAAUGCACUCCCAGGACUUCUACUUCAAUAACAAAUGUAGGUUUGGUCCAAAAUAAUCCAUAGUUAUGUUCCAUCAGCGACGUUUUGUUCGUGCGUUCUAGACACUAUCCGAAUGGUAAAUAAGGGUCGCGCGCAUGGCGCAUUUCGUGACAAAAGAUUUCUAAAUUUUUCAUUACCGUACUUCGAAGCAUGUCAACCGCUGUUUAAAAUCAAUUUUUAUGCCAUUUUUCUCGUAAAAAAAACGAUAAUAUUCCGACCGGGAAUCUGCAAUUAGGUAAACAGCCGAAAGAAAAUAAAU
ensembl:lncRNA